UACGAAGGGGGCUAGCGUUGUUCGGAAUUACUGGGCGUAAAGGGCGCGCAGGCGGCUUUGUAAGUUGGGCGUGAAAGGCCUGGGCUUAACCCGGGAAUGGCGCUUGAGACUGCAAGGCUCGAGUACGGGAGAGGAUGGUGGAAUUCCCAGUGUAGAGGUGAAAUUCGUAGAUAUUGGGAAGAACACCGGUGGCGAAGGCGGCCAUCUGGACCGUAACUGACGCUGAGGCGCGAAAGCGUGGGGAGCAAACAGGAUUAGAAACCCGAGUAGUCC
rnacentral:rRNA from 1 species